rnacentral:rRNA from 1 species
UACGAAGGGGGCUAGCGUUGCUCGGAAUCACUGGGCGUAAAGCGCACGUAGGCGGAUCAUUAAGUCGGGGGUGAAAUCCUGGAGCUCAACUCCAGAACUGCCUUCGAUACUGAAGAUCUCGAGUCCGGGAGAGGUGAGUGGAACUCCGAGUGUAGAGGUGAAAUUCGUAGAUAUUCGGAAGAACACCAGUGGCGAAGGCGGCUCACUGGCCCGGUACUAACGCUGAGACGCGAAAGCGUGGGGAGCGAACAGG